UACGAAGGGGGCUAGCGUUGCUCGGAAUCACUGGGCGUAAAGGGUGCGUAGGCGGGUCUUUAGGUCAGGGGUGAAAUCCUGGAGCUCAACUCCAGAACUGCCUUUGAUACUGAAGAUCUUGAGUAUGGGAGAGGUGAGUGGAACUGCGAGUGUAGAGGUGAAAUUCGUAGAUAUUCGCAAGAACACCAGUGGCGAAGGCGGCUCACUGGCCCGGAACUGACGCUGAGGCGCGAAAGCGUGGGGAGCAAACAGG
rnacentral:rRNA from 1 species